rnacentral:rRNA from 1 species
UCUAGUGGCGCACGGGUGCGUAACGCGUGGGAAUCUGCCCUUGGGUCCGGAGUAACAGUUAGAAAUGACUGCUAAUACCGGAUGAUGACGAAAGUCCAAAGAUUUAUCGCCCAGGGAUGAGCCCGCGUAAGAUUAGCUAGUUGGUGGGGUAAAGGCCUACCAAGGCAACGAUCUUUAGCUGGUCUGAGAGGAUGAUCAGCCACACUGGGACUGAGACACGGCCCAGACUCCUACGGGAGGCAGCAGUGGGGAAUAUUGGACAAUGGGCGAAAGCCUGAUCCAGCAAUGCCGCGUGAGUGAUGAAGGCCUUAGGGUUGUAAAGCUCUUUUACCCGGGAUGAUAAUGACAGUACCGGGAGAAUAAGCCCCGGCUAACUCCGUGCCAGCAGCCGCGGUAAUACGGAGGGGGCUAGCGUUGUUCGGAACUACUGGGCGUAAAGCGCACGUAGGCGGCUAUUCAAGUCAGAGGUGAAAGCCUGGAGCUCAACUCCAGAACUGCCUUUGAAACUAGAUAGCUAGAAUCAUGGAGAGGUGAGUGGAAUUCCGAGUGUAGAGGUGAAAUUCGUAGAUAUUCGGAAGAACACCAGUGGCGAAGGCGGCUCACUGGACAUGUAU